rnacentral:rRNA from 1 species
GCUUGUGGCCAUACCACCCUGAACAUGCCUGUUCAGGUUCGGGUCUGGUUAGUACUGGGGCGGGAGACUUCCUGGGAAUACCAGGUGCCGUAAACU